rnacentral:rRNA from 1 species
UACAGAGGUCUCAAGCGUUGUUCGGAUUCAUUGGGCGUAAAGGGUGCGUAGGUGGUCGGGUAAGUCUGAUGUGAAAUCCCGCAGCUCAACUGCGGAAUGGCAUUGGAUACUAUUUGGCUAGAGGGUUGGAGGGGGGACUGGAAUUCUCGGUGUAGCAGUGAAAUGCGUAGAUAUCGAGAGGAACACCAGUGGCGAAGGCGAGUCCCUGGACAACUCCUGACGCUGAGGCACGAAAGCUAGGGGAGCAAACAGG